rnacentral:rRNA from 1 species
AUUGAACGCUGGCGGCAUGCUUUACACAUGCAAGUCGAACGGUAACAGGGUGCUUGCACCGCUGACGAGUGGCGAACGGGUGAGUAAUGCGUCGGAACGUGCCGAGUAGUGGGGGAUAACGCAGCGAAAGUUGUGCUAAUACCGCAUACGUACUGAGGUAGAAAGUGGGGGACCUUCGGGCCUCACGCUAUUCGAGCGGCCGACGUCUGAUUAGCUAGUAGGUGAGGUAAAGGCUCACCUAGGCGACGAACAGUAGCGGGGCUGAGAGGAUGAUCGGCCACACUGAGACUGGGACACGGCCCAGACUCCUACGGGAGGCAGCAGUGGGGAAUUUUGACAAUGGGCGAAAGCCUGAUCCAGCCAUGCCGCGUGUCUGAAGAAGGCCUUCGGGUUGUAAAGGACUUUUGUCGGGGAGGAAAUCCCCAGCGUUAAUACCGCUGGGGGAUGACAGUACCUGAAGAAUAAGCACCGGCUAACUACGUGCCAGCCGCCGCCGUAAGAC